AACGAACGCUGGCGGCAGGCUUAACACAUGCAAGUCGAGCGCCCCGCAAGGGGAGCGGCAGACGGGUGAGUAACGCGUGGGGACGUACCUCUUGGUUCGGAACAACUCCGGGAAACUGGUGCUAAUACCGGAUAAGCUCUCACGGGGAAAGAUUUAUCGCCUAAGGAUCGGCCCGCGUGUGAUUAGCUAGUUGGUGAGGUAACGGCCCACCAAGGCGACGAUCAGUAGCUGGUCUGAGAGGAUGAUCAGCCACACUGGGACUGAGACACGGCCCAGACUCCUACGGGAGGCAGCAGUGGGGAAUAUUGGACAAUGGGCGCAAGCCUGAUCCAGCCAUGCCGCGUGAGUGAUGAAGGCCUUAGGGUUGUAAAGCUCUUUUGUCCGGGAAGAUAAUGACUGUACCGGAAGAAUAAGCCCCGGCUAACUUCGUG
rnacentral:rRNA from 1 species